UACAGAGGUCUCAAGCGUUGUUCGGAUUCAUUGGGCGUAAAGGGUGCGUAGGCGGCGCGGUAAGUCGGGUGUGAAAUCUCGGAGCUUAACUCCGAAACUGCAUUCGAUACUGCCGUGCUUGAGGACUGGAGAGGAGACUGGAAUUUACGGUGUAGCGGUGAAAUGCGUAGAGAUCGGAAGGAACAUCAGUGGCGAAGGCGGCUACCUGGACCAAUACUGACACUGAGGCGCGAGAGCGUGGGGAGCAAACAGG
rnacentral:rRNA from 1 species